rnacentral:rRNA from 1 species
UUGACGGUACCCUACUAGAAAGGAGCCGCUAACUUCGUGCCAGAAGCGUCGGUAAUAACGGGGGCUCCAAGCGUUGUCCGGUGUUAUUGGGCGUAAAGAGUCGUGUAGGUGGUUGGGUAAGUUAUCUUUCAAAUAUCUUUGCUUAACAAAGAGGAGGGGGAUAAUACUGCUCGACUAGAAUUUUCUCAAGGGAGAUCGGAACUGAGGGAGGAGUAGUGAAAUGCGUUGAUACCCUCGGGAACACCAGUGGCGUAGGCGGAUCUCUGGGAGAAGAUUGACACUGAGACACGAAAGCUAGGGGAGCGAAGCAGAUUAGAGACCUGCGUAGUCCUAGCCGUAAACGCAUGCUUGCUAGCUGCAUGAAUCUACCUUCGGGUGGUAUCGUGUGGCGAAGGUAACCCGUUAAGCAAGCCGCCUGGAAAGUACGGCCGCAAGGCUGAAAUUCAAAGGAAUUGGCGGGGAGGCACACAACCAGUGGAACAUGUGGUUUAAUUCGAGACUAACCGAAGAACCUCACCAGGGUUUGACAUGUAGCUGCACGUCUUAAGAAAUUAAGACUCUCUUGAAGGUGCUACACAGGUGCUGCAUGGCUGUCGUCAGCUCGUUCCGUGAGGAGUGCCCUUAAGUGGGACAACGAGCGCAACCCCUAUUACAUGUUAGAAAUGUCAUGUAAGACUGCCUUGCCAUUUGGCGGGGAGGAAGGAGGGGCAGACGUCAAGUCCGCAUGGUCCUUAUGCCCUGGGCUACACACAUGUUACAAUGAGUACGGCAAUGAGUCUGUCGCGAGCACGUAAGUGUAAGCUAAUCUCUUAAAUGUACUCUCAGUGGGGAUUGAGGUCUGCAACUCGACCUCAUGAACACGGAAUUGGUAGUAAUCGCGGGUCAGCUAUACCGCGGUGAUACGUUCUUGCCUCUUGCACACACCGCCCGUCAAACCAGCAAAGU